rnacentral:rRNA from 1 species
AGAGUUUGAUCCUGGCUCAGGAUGAACGCUAGCUACAGGCUUAACACAUGCAAGUCGAGGGGCAGCAUGGUCUUAGCUUGCUAAGGCCGAUGGCGACCGGCGCACGGGUGAGUAACGCGUAUCCAACCUGCCUUACACUCUUGGACAGCCUUACUGAAAGGGAGAUUAAUACAAGAUGUUAUCAUGAGUAAGCAUUUUCGCAUGAUUAAAGGUUUACUGGUGUAAGAGUGGGGAUGCGUUCCAUUAGAUAGUAGGCGGGGUAACGGCCCACCUAGUCUUCGAUGGAUAGGGGUUCUGAGAGGAAGGUCCCCCACAUUGGAACUGAGACACGGUCCAAACUCCUACGGGAGGCAGCA